rnacentral:rRNA from 1 species
UGGGGAAUAUUGCACAAUGGGCGAAAGCCUGAUGCAGCAACGCCGCGUGAGUGAUGAAGGCCUUCGGGUUGUAAAGCUCUGUCUUUUGGGACGAUAAUGACGGUACCAAAGGAGGAAGCCACGGCUAACUACGUGCCAGCAGCCGCGGUAAUACGUAGGUGGCAAGCGUUGUCCGGAUUUACGGGCGUAAAGGAUGCGUAGGCGGAUUUUAAGUGAGAUGUGAAAUACCCGGGCUUAACUUGGGUGCUGCAUUUCAAACUGGGAAUCUAGAGUGCGGGAGAGGAAAUGGAAUUCCUAGUGUAGCGGUGAAAGUGCGUAGAGAUUAGGAAGAACACCAGUGGCGAAGGCGAUUCUCUGGACCGUAACUGACGCUGAGGCAUGAAAGCGUGGGUAGCAAACAGGAUUAGAUACCCUGGUAGUCCACGCCGUAAACGAUGAGUACUAGGUGUAGGAGGUAUCGACCCCUUCUGUGCCGCAGUUAACACAAUAAGUACUCCGCCUGGGAAGUACGAUCGCAAGAUUAAAACUCAAAUGAAUUGACGGGGUCAUAGCUG